ACUAAAUGUAUUACUUUCUAAAGGAAAAAGCUUUAAACUAUGAAAAAGGAAAAUUGGGUAAACACCAUAUAGCAAGAGACAGACCUGCACAUGCCUACCUUCACUAACUUUAAACCGUCAAAAUCAGUUAAAGGUGAA